GACGAACGCUGGCGGCGUGCUUAACACAUGCAAGUCGAGCGGUAAGGCCCUUUGGGGUACACGAGCGGCGAACGGGUGAGUAACACGUGAGUAAUCUGCCUUUGGCUUGGGAAUAACUUCGGGAAAUCGGGGCUAAUGCCUGAUGUUUACUGUCUGCUGCAUGGUGGGUGGUGGAAAGAUUUUUUGGCCAGGGAUGAGCUCGCGGUCUAUCAGCUUGUUGGUGGGGUAAUGGCUACCAAGGCUUUGACGGGUAGCCGGCCUGAGAGGGUGUUCGGCCACACUGGGGACUGAGACACGGCCCAGACUCCUACGGGAGGCAGCAGUGGGGAAUAUUGCGCAAUGGGCGUAAGCCUGACGCAGCGACGCCGCGUGGGGAUGAA
rnacentral:rRNA from 1 species